rnacentral:lncRNA from 1 species
AAGCCAGGAGGUGGUGGCUCCACAGCUCUGCAGCCCAGCAAGGCUUUAGGAUAUGAUUACAAAAGGAGGGAAGGAAGUCCUGCCUGCUCAUCCUUUAUUCCAAUCAGCCUUUCCUCUCAUCUUCUGCUUCACAGCAGCGCUCAGCAGUGUGGUGUUGGCAGCAGAGAGGCUGAAGCCUUCUCUCAGCAAAUAUUUCUGGGCAUCAGCAGCUUCUGCAGCCAAGCAGGAGAGGGACAGGCUGGGACAGAAUGGAACUUGCCCUGCAAUGGCCCCAGGAUUCUGGAUUUGCAUAUUCUGUUUAGAUACUGAAAAAUAAAUGGUCUUGAAAUGAAAACUUCUGUUAACAGCCUCAUCUGUGGGACAGACCAGGAGACAUGGCCUUUGGGGUGAAUAAAAGACAAUGAGGGAUCA